AGCGAACGCUGGCGGUAGGCCUAACACAUGCAAGUCGAACGGCAGCACAGUAAGAGCUUGCUCUUACGGGUGGCGAGUGGCGGACGGGUGAGGAAUACAUCGGAAUCUACUUUUUCGGGGGGGAUAACGUAGGGAAACUUACGCUAAUACCGCAUACGACCUACGGGUGAAAGCAGGGGAUCUUCGGACCUUGCGCGAUUGAAUGAGCCGAUGUCGGAUUAGCUAGUUGGCGGGGCAAAGGCCCACCAAGGCGACGAUCCGUAGCUGGUCUGAGAGGAUGAUCAGCCACACUGGAACUGAGACACGGUCCAGACUCCUACGGGAGGCAGCAGUGGGGAAUAUUGGACAAUGGGCGCAAGCCUGAUCCAGCCAUACCGCGUGGGUGAAGAAGGCCUUCGGGUUGUAAAGCCCUUUUGUUGGGAAAGAAAAGCAGCAGGUUAAUACCCCGCUGUUCUGACGGUACCCAAAGAAUAAGCACCGGCUAACUUCGUG
rnacentral:rRNA from 1 species